AAUAUUGGACAAUGGGCGAAAGCCUGAUCCAGCCAUGCCGCGUGUGUGAAGAAGGUCUUCGGAUUGUAAAGCACUUUAAGUUGGGAGGAAGGGCUUUAGGUUAAUACCCUGAAGUUUUGACGUUACCAACAGAAUAAGCCCCGGCUAACUUUGUUCCAGCAGCCGCGGUCAUACCAAGGGUGAAAGCGUUAAUUGUAAUUACUGGGCGUAAAGCGCGCGUAGGUAGUUUGUUAAGUUGGAAGUGAAAUCCCCGGGCUUAACCUGGGAACUGCUUUCAGAACUGCUGAGCUAGAGUACGGUAGAGGGUAGUGGAAUUUCCUGUGUAGCGGUGAAAUGCGUAGAUAUAGGAAGGAACACCAGUGGCGAAGGCGACUACCUGGACUGAUACUGACACUGAGGUGCGAAAGCGUGGGGAGCAAAC
rnacentral:rRNA from 1 species